GAUGAAGAACGCAGCGAAAUGCGAUAAGUAAUGCGAAUUGCAGAAUUUCCGUGAGUCAUCGAAUCUUUGAACGCACAUUGCGCCCACUGGUAUUCCGGUGGGCAUGCCUGUUCGAGCGUCAUUGCUGCCCUCAAGCACGGCUUGUGUGUUGGGCCUCCGUCCUCCUCCCGGGGGACGGGCCCGAAAGGCAGCGGCGGCACCGCGUCCGGUCCUCGAGCGUAUGGGGCUUCGUCACCCGCUCUUGUAGGCCCGGCCGGCGCUUGCCGACACAUCAAUCUUUUUUCCAGGUUGACCUCGGAUCAGGUAGGGAUACCCGCUGAACUUAAGCAUAUCAAUAAGCGGAGGA
rnacentral:misc_RNA from 1 species